UACGAAGGGGGCUAGCGUUGUUCGGAAUUACUGGGCGUAAAGCGCUCGUAGGCGGAUUUUUAAGUCAGGGGUGAAAUCCCGGGGCUCAACCUCGGAACUGCCUUUGAUACUGGGAAUCUCGAGUCCGGGAGAGGUGAGUGGAACUGCGAGUGUAGAGGUGAAAUUCGUAGAUAUUCGCAAGAACACCAGUGGCGAAGGCGGCUCACUGGCCCGGUACUGACGCUGAGGAGCGAAAGCGUGGGGAGCAAACAGG
rnacentral:rRNA from 1 species